AUUGAACGCUGGCGGCAUGCUUUACACAUGCAAGUCGAACGGUAACAGGCCGCAAGGUGCUGACGAGUGGCGAACGGGUGAGUAAUGCAUCGGAACGUGCCCAGUCGUGGGGGAUAACGCAGCGAAAGUUGCGCUAAUACCGCAUACGAUCUAUGGAUGAAAGCGGGGGACCGUAAGGCCUCGCGCGAUUGGAGCGGCCGAUGUCAGAUUAGGUAGUUGGUGGGGUAAAGGCUCACCAAGCCGACGAUCUGUAGCUGGUCUGAGAGGACGACCAGCCACACUGGGACUGGGACACGGCCCAGACUCCUACGGGAGGCAGCAGUGGGGAAUUUUGGACAAUGGGCGCAAGCCUGAUCCAGCAAUGCCGCGUGCAGGAAGAAGGCCUUCGGGUUGUAAACUGCUUUUGUACGGAACGAAACGGUCCGGGUUAAUACCCUGGGCUAAUGACGGUACCGUAAGAAUAAGCACCGGCUAACUACGUGCCAGCCGCCGCGGUAAGAC
rnacentral:rRNA from 1 species